UCCUGGCUCAGAUUGAACGCUGGCGGCAUGCUUUACACAUGCAAGUCGAACGGCAGCGCGGGGAGCUUGCUCCCUGGCGGCGAGUGGCGCACGGGUGAGUAAUACAUCGGAACGUGUCUUCUAGUGGGGGAUAACUGCCCGAAAGGGCAGCUAAUACCGCAUGAGACCUGAGGGUGAAAGCGGGGGAUCGCAAGACCUCGCGCUGGAAGAGCGGCCGAUGUCCGAUUAGCUAGUUGGUGAGGUAAAGGCUCACCAAGGCGACGAUCGGUAGCUGGUCUGAGAGGACGACCAGCCACACUGGGACUGAGACACGGCCCAGACUCCUACGGGAGGCAGCAGUGGGGAAUUUUGGACAAUGGGGGCAACCCUGAUCCAGCCAUGCCGCGUGCAGGAUGAAGGUCUUCGGAUUGUAAACUGCUUUUGUCAGGGACGAAAAGGGAUGCGAUAACACCGCAUUCCGCUGACGGUACCUGAAGAAUAAGCACCGGCUACUCU
rnacentral:rRNA from 1 species